rnacentral:rRNA from 1 species
CAAGGGGGUCAUCCCGACUUACCAACCCGAUGCAAACUGCGAAUACCGGAGAAUGUUAUCACGGGAGACACACGGCGGGUGCUAACGUCCGUCGUGAAGAGGGAAACAACCCAGACCGCCAGCUAAGGUCCCAAAGUCAUGGUUAAGUGGGAAACGAUGUGGGAAGGCCCAGACAGCCAGGAUGUUGGCUUAGAAGCAGCCAUCAUUUAAAGAAAGCGUAAUAGCUCACUGGUCGAGUCGGCCUGCGCGGAAGAUGUAACGGGGCUAAACCAUGCACCGAAGCUGCGGCAGCGACGCUGAUGCGUUGUUGGGUAGGGGAGCGUUCUGUAAGCCUGCGAAGGUGUGCUGUGAGG